UGGGGAAUAUUGGACAAUGGGGGCAACCCUGAUCCAGCCAUGCCGCGUGAGUGAUGAAGGCCUUAGGGUUGUAAAGCUCUUUCACCGGUGAAGAUAAUGACGGUAACCGGAGAAGAAGCCCCGGCUAACUUCAUGCCAGCAGCCGCGGUAAUACGAAGGGGGCUAGCGUUGUUCGGAAUUACUGGGCGUAAAGCGCACGUAGGCGGAUUGUUAAGUCGAGGGUGAAAUCCCAGGGCUCAACCCUGGAACUGCCUUCGAUACUGGCAUUCUUGAGUCCGAGAGAGGUGAGUGGAAUUCCGAGUGUAGAGGUGAAAUUCGUAGAUAUUCGGAAGAACACCAGUGGCGAAGGCGGCUCACUGGCUCGGAACUGACGCUGAGGUGCGAAAGCGUGGGGAGCAAAACAGGAUUAGAUACCCUGGUAGUCCACGCCGUAAACGAUGGGUGCUAGCCGUUGGGCAGCUUGCUGUUCAGUGGCGCCGCAACGCUUUAAGCA
rnacentral:rRNA from 1 species